UACGUAGGAUGCAAGCGUUGUCCGGAAUUAUUGGGCGUAAAGAGCUCGUAGGCGGUUUGUCGCGUCUGCUGUGAAAACUCGGGGCUUAACCCCGGGCCUGCAGUGGGUACGGGCAGACUAGAGUGCGGUAGGGGAGACUGGAAUUCCUGGUGUAGCGGUGAAAUGCGCAGAUAUCAGGAGGAACACCAAUUGCGAAGGCAGCUCGCUGGGACGUUACUGACGCUGAGACGCGAAAGCGUGGGGAGCAAACAGG
rnacentral:rRNA from 1 species